UUUUUUUUGCUGGAGAAAUGGAUUGUGCAGCCUGGUUUAAACCAAACUGGACCCUUCCCAGAAUUCGAGGAUAUAUUAAGUGUCCUGGAAACCCAAGGGCUCUGUGGAAGGGAAGAGAUAGGAAUAUUUAAAAAUCUAGGUAUUGGUAAGGAGGAAGUAGGUAAUGAGUCUUGAAUUCAUAUGUUCAAAAGCAAAAAUAUUAAAGAGUUUCUGAGUUUCAACAUAAGACAGAAGGUAAGAAGUAGGUGUUGCCAGUGCCUUGAAGAAACAUGUCUUGAGAACUUUUCAGAAUUUAAAAGCAGAGGAGAGCUAGGAAUAAUGUCAUCAUGAGAACCAUGUGUGGUGCUGGUCUCCUUUAGGAACAUGGCAUUAAAAAGCAUCAAAAGCAUCUUCAGUUUGGGAAUCUGAAAAGAGAACUUCCUGAUGAAAUAAAGUAGAGAAAGGGAAACUCAUUUCUUUAGAAGAAAGCAUCUUAGUCAUAAGCAGACCUUCAAACAGAGAAGUGGCAGUAGCCACUAAAAUAGGAAACUGAAAAGUGACUGCCUGCCCUCAAGAUACAGCAAAGGUUUUCCCCACACAGAACUUGCCAUCGAUGUAGCGCUGAAGUACUAGGGAAAGCAGUCAUUAGAAUUCACAGGAUGAAGAAAGAAAGAAUUCUCAGCUUAAAGCCAGUGCUUGGGUUGGGUUUGCUGCAACUUUAGACCUUUGCCAGAAGGCUGUAAUAUCUCAAAUGUAUUCAGUAGGAACAGAGACAAUUUGUGUAGGGGGUUCUUCACUCCAGAUGCAUAGUGCCUCAAUGAAUAUCCCGUGGGAAGAUAAUUUCUGCCUAAGUUUAGAGACCAUGGAUUCUGGACCAUUGCAUAGACUUCCU
rnacentral:lncRNA from 1 species